AUGGCCUUGGCCCCGCUCCUCCUCGUAUUGCUCAUGUGCUGCUCAGGUUGUCUUGCUCAGACCACGCCGACUCAGCCGCCUUCGGUGUCCGUCUCUCCCGGACAAACUGCUACGAUCACCUGCACGGGCAGUAGCAUCGGUAGCUAUGGAGAGAAUUGGUACCAACAGAAACCUGGGAGUGCCCCCCUGACUGUUAUGUACUAUAAUAAUAACAGACCCUCCGGUAUCUCGGACCGGUUCUCUGGUUCCAAGUCCGGUAACACGGCCACAUUGACCAUCACUGGAGUCCAAGCCGUGGAUGAGGCUGAUUAUUACUGCAGUGCUUAUGAUAGUGGCAGUAGCUCUCCACACAAUGACACAGUGCAAUGGGGAAACUAUGAAACAGUGAAAUCCGACUUGAAGCUGCCCAGUGAGUGCAGCAUGGAAUGGCCAGUGUAUUUAGGAAUUGUAAAAGAUGGGUUUGCAGAUGCUGAGGAUCCUGUUCAGUUGUGGAUGGCUGCUGAAGACCGCAUUCCCAACCUGGCAAAAUAUGCAGUGGUUCUUCGGCUGAUGUGGAAAGAAGUUUCAGCAAACUCGGGGCUCUUUUCAGUGCUCAGCGUCAACGUCUGA